UACAGAGGUGGCAAGCGUUGUUCGGAAUUACUGGGCGUAAAGGGCGCGUAGGCGGCCAUCUAAGUCAGACGUGAAAUCCCCCGGCUUAACCUGGGAACUGCGUCUGAUACUGGACGGCUUGAGUAUGGGAGAGGGAUGUAGAAUUCCAGGUGUAGCGGUGAAAUGCGUAGAUGUCUGGAGGAAUACCGGUGGCGAAGGCGGCAUCCUGGACCAUUACUGACGCUGAGGCGCGAAAGCUAGGGGAGCAAACGGG
rnacentral:rRNA from 1 species